rnacentral:rRNA from 1 species
CGAGGGGCAGCGGGGUAGUGCUUGCACUACUGCCGGCGACCGGCGCACGGGUGAGUAACACGUAUGGAACCUGCCCGCAGCAGGGGGAUAAGCGGAAGAAAUUCCGUCUAAUACCGCGUAAGAACGUUGGGAGGCAUCUCCCGAUGUUUAAAGAUUUAUCGGCUGCGGAUGGCCAUGCGGCGCAUUAGCUAGUCGGCGGGGUAACGGCCCACCGAGGCGACGAUGCGUAGGGGUUCUGAGAGGAAGGUCCCCCACACUGGUACUGAGACACGGACCAGACUCCUACGGGAGGCAGCAGUGAGGAAUAUUGGUCAAUGGCCGAGAGGCUGAACCAGCCAAGUCGCGUGAGGGAAGACGGCCCUGCGGGUUGUAAACCUCUUUUGUCGGGGAGCAAAGCGAACCACGUGUGGUUCAUUGAGAGUACCCGAAGAAAAAGCAUCGGCUAACUCCGUGCCAGCAGCCGCGGUAAUACGGAGGAUGCGAGCGUUAUCCGGAUUUAUUGGGUUUAAAGGGUGCGCAGGCGGAGGUGCAAGUCAGCGGUCAAAUUGCGGGGCUCAACCCCGUACUGCCGUUGAAACUGCAUCCCUUGAGUGCGCGAGAAGUAUGCGGAAUGCGUGGUGUAGCGGUGAAAUGCAUAGAUAUCACGCAGAACUCCGAUUGCGAAGGCAGCAUACCGGCGCGCAACUGACGCUCAUGCACGAAAGCGUGGGUAUCGAACAAGGUUAGAUACCCUGGUAGUCCACGCAGUAAACGAGAAACACUAGCUGUUUCGGCCAGAAUGAUGGCUGAGUGGUACAGCGAAAGCGUUAAGUGUUCCACCUGGGGAGUACGCCGGCAACGGUGAAACUCAAAGGAAUUGACGGGGGCCCGCACAAGCGGAGGAACAUGUGGUUUAAUUCGAUGAUACGCGAGGAACCUUACCCGGGCUCAAACGACACAGGAAUACUUUUGAAAGGAGGUAGCCCUACGGGGUCUGUGUCGAGGUGCUGCAUGGUUGUCGUCAGCUCGUGCCGUGAGGUGUCGGCUUAAGUGCCAUAACGAGCGCAACCCCUAUCGCCAGUUACCAUCAAGUAAAGUUGGGGACUCUGGCGAGACUGCCGGCGCAAGCUGAGAGGAAGGCGGGGAUGACGUCAAAUCAGCACGGCCCUUACGUCCGGGGCGACACACGUGUUACAAUGGCAGGUACAGAGAGAAGCCAGGUGGUGACACCGAGCGGAACUCGAAAGCCUGUCUCAGUUCGGAUCGGAGUCUGCAACCCGACUCCGUGAAGCUGGAUUCGCUAGUAAUCG